CCUACGGGUGACAGCAGUGAGGAAUAUUGGUCAAUGGGCGGAAGCCUGAACCAGCCAAGUCGCGUGAGGGAAUAAGGCCCUACGGGUCGUAAACCUCUUUUGCCGGGGAGCAAGGGCCGGGAAGCGUCCCCGCCCGGGGAGUACCCGGAGAAAAAGCAUCGGCUAACUCCGUGCCAGCAGCCGCGGUAAUACGGAGGAUGCGAUCGUGAUACGGAUUUAUUGGGUUUAAUGGGUGCGUAGGCGGGCUUUUAAGUCAGCGGUAAAAAUUCGGGGCUCAACCCCGUCCGGCCGUUGAAACUGGGGGCCUUGAGUGGGCGAGAAGAAGGCGGAAUGCGUGGUGUAGCGGUGAAAUGCAUAGAUAGCACGCAGAACCCCGAUUGCGAAGGCAGCCUUCCGGCGCCCUACUGACGCUGAGGCACGAAAGUGCGGGGAUCGAACAGGAUUAGAUACCCGGGUAGUC
rnacentral:rRNA from 1 species